CUUUAUAAAUUUAAUUUAAUAUAAUUUUAUUUGUAAGUUAAAAAUCUUACAAAUUUAUAAAAGACGAGAAGACCCUAUAGAAUUUUAUAAUUUUUUAUAACUUAAUUUGGUUGUUUAAUUCUUAUUAUUUAUAAUUAUUAUUUUAUUGGGGAUAUAUAAAAAUUUAAUUAAAUUUUUUUUUAUUAUUUUAUAGAUAAAUAAAUUUUAAAAAUUAAUAUUAUUAUAUUUAAAUUAAAUUACCUUAGGGAUAACAGCGUAAUAAUUUUUAUAAGUUCAUAUUGGUAAAAUUUU
rnacentral:rRNA from 1 species